rnacentral:rRNA from 1 species
GACGAACGCUGGCGGCGUGCUUAACACAUGCAAGUCGAACGGAAAGGCCCUGCUUUUGUGGGGUGCUCGAGUGGCGAACGGGUGUGUAACACGUGAGUAACCUGCCCUUGACUUUGUGAUAACUUCUGGAAACUGGGGCUAAUACCGGAUAGGAGCUCCUGCUGCAUGUUGGGGGUUGGAAAGUUUCGGCGGUUGGGGAUGGUCUCGCGGCUUAUCAGCUUGUUGGUGGGGUAGUGGCUUACCAAGGCUUUGACGGGUAGCCGGACUGAGAGGGUGACCGGCCAAAUUGGGACUGAGAUACGGACCAGAAUCCAACGGGAGGCAGCAGGGGGGAAUAUUGAACAAUGGGCGGAAGCAUGAUGCAGCAACGACGGGAGCGGGAUGACGGCAUUCGGGUUGUAAACCGAAAGAGAAUGUGACGAAGAGAGAGUGACGGUAAUGGGUAAAGAAGCAAAGGCUAACUACGUG